UUUUUAACUAUUUUGUACUUAUUAAAAUUUAUUAUUAUUAUUAUUAUUAUAAAAAAAUGUCUCAUUCACUUAGGCUCCCAAAUAUAUUGGGCCGCUUCUGGUUUUGUGUUUUUUUUUUACGUUCUCUUUGUCUAUCACUAGCAGGUUUGUCUUAUGGCCUAAAGUAUUUAAGUAUUUUAGUAGGUUCAUCAUCAAAGCGCGUGCGGGGUAAGACAGUUGGGAAAGGAAUUGAUAAGCUCAUUGCCCAGAAUGGCAGAGAAAAGCUCUCUGUUCCAAUACUUGAUGAGUGGAAUGCUUUGUGUGGUAUUAAUGCCCCAAAGGUAGCCAAUCAUAAUAUUUUCUUUAGAUUUUUAAUUUGUAUUUUUUUGAUGGUGAGAUCAAAAGCUGGCAAAAAGAAUAGGAAAAAGCUUGAGUAUAAUCAUUAUUCAGGAUCUCGGUCAUUUGUUGCAACAAUGACUAUACAGCAGGAGUUUAAUGGUUCUGAAAACCUUGAAUUUACAGAAUUCUUCAUCUUCUUCCACACCUAGUCGUGUGUCACAAGACCAUAUUGGAGAGUUGCAGAAACUUAAAGCUGAGAUGGAGGAGAUGAAGAUGGAGCGUGAGGAGUUGCGGAGGCAAUUGGAGCAGGAGAGGAGAGAGCAUGAGGAGGAAAAGAAAGAACGAGAGGAAGAACAGAAGCAAAUUGCACAUCUUACAAGUUUGGUGACAGAGUUCUUAAAGGAAAAGACUCAAACGCACAAGUCAUCUAUCCAUCAUGAUGGGGCCAUGUAUUCAACUGGUGGUACAAAUACUCGUUGAUAUAUGGUGGAGUUAUGAGCAUGUAAAAUCUAGUUUCUGGUAUAUGGAUAGCUUUUGUUCAGAUGAUUAUGGUGGAGUUGUCUACAAGCAGAAUUCAGUUUUUGGUAUAAGAUUAUUUUUGUCUACAUGAUGGUUGUUUGGAUGAAUAGCAAGAUCAGAUAUUUUGGGAUUUUUAAUUUACAUUUUGAUGUGUUUGGUGAUGAUUAUCACCUUAACAUAUGGUAUGGAUGAAACAUUUUGAUGUAUGGUUAAUAGGUAUGCUUGACUUUAGACUUAUAGAUGAUGAUAUUUAUAAUGAAUGAUUAUGGAUUCUCCAA